CGAACGGGUGAGUAAUACAUCGUGAACGUGUCCUGGAGUGGGGGAUAGCCCGGCGAAACCCGGAUUAAUACCGCAUACGCUCUGUGGAGGAAAGCGGGGGAUCUUUCGGGACCUCGCGCUCAAGGGGCGGCCGAUGGCAGAUUAGGUAGUUGGUGGGGUAAAGGCCUACCAAGCCGACGAUCUGUAGCUGGUCUGAGAGGACGACCAGCCACACUGGGACUGAGACACGGCCCAGACUCCUACGGGAGGCAGCAGUGGGGAAUUUUGGACAAUGGGCGCAAGCCUGAUCCAGCAAUGCCGCGUGUGUGAAGAAGGCCUUCGGGUUGUAAAGCACUUUUGUCCGGAAAGAAAACCUCGUGGCUAAUAUCCGUGAGGGAUGACGGUACCGGAAGAAUAAGCACCGGCUAACUACGUGCCAGCAGCCGCGGUAAUACGUAGGGUGCGAGCGUUAAUCGGAAUUACUGGGCGUAAAGCGUGCGCAGGCGGUGAUGUAAGACCGAUGUGA
rnacentral:rRNA from 1 species